GAUGAACGCUGGCGGCGUGCCUAAUACAUGCAAGUCGAGCGAACAGACGAGGAGCUUGCUCCUCUGACGUUAGCGGCGGACGGGUGAGUAACACGUGGAUAACCUACCUAUAAGACUGGGAUAACUUCGUGAAACCGGAGCUAAUACCGGAUAAUAUAUUGAACCGCAUGGUUCAAUAGUGAAAGACGGUUUUGCUGUCACUUAUAGAUGGAUCCGCGCCGCAUUAGCUAGUUGGUAAGGUAACGGCUUACCAAGGCGACGAUGCGUAGCCGACCUGAGAGGGUGAUCGGCCACACUGGAACUGAGACACGGUCCAGACUCCUACGGGAGGCAGCAGUGGGGAAUCUUCCGCAAUGGGCGAAAGCCUGACGGAGCAACGCCGCGUGAGUGAUGAAGGUCUUCGGAUCGUAAAACUCUGUUAUUAGGGAAGAACAAAUGUGUAAGUAACUAUGCACGUCUUGACGGUACCUAAUCAGAAAGCCACGGCUAACUACGUG
rnacentral:rRNA from 1 species